rnacentral:snRNA from 1 species
UUGCUUAGAAGGUAACUGAU